GUCAAGCGAUUAAAAUAUUUCAUCGUGAUUAAUCGCAUUAAUGUCAUAGUUAACUCACGAUUAAUCGCAAAUUAUUUUUCUAUGCUAAAUAUCCCUUGAUUUUUUUGUCCCAUAAUUCUUCUCAUUUUAAUUCUCUUAUCAACAUGGUGAAGUGCAUUGGCUUGCCUUGACGAUACAAAAAAAGCCUAUAGUGCAAUUAAACGACUGCUUUGAACAAAUGUCAUUUGAACAUAG